rnacentral:rRNA from 1 species
AUACGUAGGGGGCGAGCGUUGUCCGGAAUGAUUGGGCGUAAAGGGCGCGUAGGCGGCGCGGUAAGUCUGGAGUGAAAGUCCUGCUUUCAAGGUGGGAAUUGCUUUGGAUACUGCCGCGCUUGAGUGCAGGAGAGGUUAUCGGAAUUCCCGGUGUAGCGGUGAAAUGCGUAGAGAUCGGGAGGAACACCAGUGGCGAAGGCGGGUAACUGGACUGCAACUGACGCUGAGGCGCGAAAGUGUGGGGAGCAAACAGGAUUAGAUACCCUGGUAGUCCACGCGGUAAACGAUGAAUGCCAGGUGUUGCGGGUAUCGACCCCUGCAGUGCCGGAGUAAACACAAUAAGCAUUCCGCCUGGGGAGUACGGUCGCAAGAUUAAAACUCAAAUGAAUUGACGGGG